UGAAGAAGCUGAUAAACAAUAAUGAAAUUUUUAGUAUAGCUUUUCAUGCUAAGCUUUACCUAAGGGACACUGUAUAUCAUACGUUUUGAAAAUGUAUAUAUGUUUUUAUAUAUAUAUUCAUCUUAAGAAAUGGGGUACCCCUUAGUAGUAAUUACACUGUAGGGAGGGGCUAUUCCCCUUGCUGCUCUGUAGGAAAGCACCAUAGUCUUGUAGUGGAUGCAGGCUUUACAUGGAAGCCGUUUGACUCGGGAAGGAGGAACACCAGGCAGGCACCGCUCGGCGUUAAGUGGAAUGGUUUCGAAGGCACAAGCAGAGAGCCCUGCCAACAAGUUGCAGUUAUCCAGAUGAGAAAUGACAAGUGCCUGGAUUAGUACCUGCACCAUUUCCUGUGUGAUAUUAUUAUAAUUUCAAACUAUAAUAACAAGUUAUGAAAUUGGUGAUGUGGUACACAAUUGGAUGAGUUAAACAAGAAAUGGGGUCCCUUAGUGUUUCAUGACCACUGCUUUCACUACUACUAGCUUUUUAUAGCCAGUAGUAUAUAGAAUUAUAGAAAACUCUGGAGUGAAUAUUCAAGUGUAAACACAGAUUUUGACUUGUGAUUUGUAUGUUGAUUAAUGUUAAAACAUUGAUUUUGUAGAAAUCACGGCAAUGUCAUCUGAGCAAUGAAAUAAUUGUUCCCAUAAGUAUAGUGGUUGGAAUGUACACUGUAUGAUAAUCAAUGUAUCUUCAAAACACAAUAGGAAUUAUACAGUUACACAUGUAGUGAUUUUGAUUUCAGCUGGCAUGUGAUAAAAUGUGGUGGGAAGGGCAGAAAUUAUGUAUUACCAUGAAAUAUUUAAAAAAACUAAUUUAUGUUUGUUUCUUGUCAUGCUUAUGUUAACUUUUAAUCUUGAGAAAGACUAUUGGUGAGAGUAUGUUCCUGCAGAAAUCCAAUUGAAAGUUUUGUACAGAUUUCCUGUAAUUGUGUUAUUUGACUUCAACCAUCUCUUACUAUCCUGUGAGUAAUAAAACAGAGCCCACACAGUGGCUCAUUUGCUUUCAAAACUCCAAUGCACCUGUUUAUUGAUUGCUCUAAAAACUGUUGCUAUUGACACACCUGUGUUAACAGCCAAACUGAUUCAGAGCUUCCUGAAGCUUCUGCGCAUGUAUAUAUUCUCAAUGCACGGAGAAC
ensembl:lncRNA